rnacentral:rRNA from 1 species
AAUAUUGGACAAUGGGCGAAAGCCUGAUCCAGCCAUGCCGCGUGUGUGAAGAAGGUCUUCGGAUUGUAAAGCACUUUAAGUCGGGAGGACGGGCAGGAAGUUAAUACCUUGCUGUUUUGACGUUACCGACAGAAUAAGCACCGGCUAACUUCGUGCCAGCAGCCGCGGUAAUACGAAGGGUGCAAGCGUUAAUCGGAAUUACUGGGCGUAAAGCGCGCGUAGGUGUUUUGAAAGAUGGAAGUGAAAGCCCCGGGCUCAACCUGGGAACUGCUUUCAAAACUGGAAAGCUAGAGUAUGGCAGAGGGUGGUGGAAUUUCCGGGGUAGCGGUGAAAUGCGUAGAUAUAGGAAGAAACACCAGUGGCAAAGGCGACCACCUGGGCUAAUACUGACACUGAGGUGCGAAAGCGUGGGGAGCAAACAG